UUGAUUUCCCAUUGAAUUCACCUUCUUAUUAAAUGUUGAGAGGAGAAAGUACUAGUUAGUAAUAUAGUACAAUAUAGACAGGUAUCUAUAGAAGAAGAUAGUACAAUUAUUUCACCGGGCCUCGGCCUCAGUACUGGCAGCAAGGUUUUCAGGCAAUCUGCAAGGAUCUCUGUGUUCUGCUGGAAGUAGAAGUUCCAGUCUGGGGCGUGUUGAAACUGCCAGCUCUAAACAACAUUUGCUGUUCUCCCCUCCCCCUUUCCUCCUUCUGACCGGAAGCUCCUCCUGUUUGCAGCCAGAGUUGUUUUCUUCUUCUGAGGGCGGGAAAGUUACAGCCAGGGCUUCCUGUUUGCGACUGUGUUUAUGUUGGUGAUUUGUAUUAGAUUGACAGCAUAUAGUAUGGGCAGGUUUUCUGUUGGUGAAAUUCCUGAUGAUUUGAGGCGUUCCAAGCGUGCGCUGGGUGCUGAUGUGCCCGACGGAACAUUGGAGUGCAGGCUGGCAACUGCAGAGGAUUCUGGGCCAGGAUAAUGGAUCGGUGUGGAUGAAGGUCAGGAGGGGAAGUUUUCCCUGUUUUCUCUUCUCCUCCUCUAUAACUGGACCUACAGUUAGUCUGUCUGGACGUUCAUCUCUGGAAGCUUCCCUUUUCCCCUAACGAAAACAACAUGGGGCACCAGAAGUCUUUCAAUGGAUAAGGUGGUCACAGUCUGGAGUUCAAUCGAAUCCACAAAUGCUAUGUUUACACAGUAAUGUACUACUACCUGCACACACCCUUCUAUUCGAUUGACUAUUUAUUCCUUUGCGUGACCAAGUCACUUUACUAUAUAUUUGUAAAUACAGUGUAAUAAAGUCCAUUAUAACUACAUACUACCUCUCUUAUUGCUUCUAGCACUUGUUAAUUUUGACUACACUCAUUUUAUUGUUUUUAUUGUUAUUGACUAAUGUACUUCACCUCUUGCACCUGCAGUUAACUGUGUAUGUGACAAAUAAAAUUUGAUUUGAUUUCUUGUUCCGAAGAAAGUGAACGCAUCAGAGCCCAAGACCAUUCUG